GGGAAUGUGGCUUAGUGGUAGAGUGCUUGCCUAGCAUGCAUGAAGCCCUAGGUUUGAUUUCUUAGUACCA
rfam:Dipodomys ordii contig_40865, whole genome shotgun sequence.